rnacentral:rRNA from 1 species
GACGAACGCUGGCGGCGUGCCUAAUACAUGCAAGUCGAACGCAGUGGGGACUGGUUGGUAACCCGUGCGUAACCUGCCCAUCAGUGGGGAUAACACUUGGAAACCGGUACUAAACCGAUACUGCUGGAUGGCCCCGCGGGGCAUUAGCUAGUUGGAGAGGUAACGGCUCACCAAGGCAACGAUGCAUAGCUGACCUGAGAGGGUGACCGGCCACACUGUGACUGAGACACGGCCCAGACUCCUACGGGAGGCAGCAUUAGGGAAUCUUAGGCAAUGGACGCAAGUCUGAUCGAGCAAUGCCGCGUGAGUGAAGAAGGUUUUCGGAUUGUAAAACUCUGUUGUUAGAGAAGCGGUAUCUACACAGAAAGCCACGGCUAACUACGUGCCAGCAGCCGCGGUAAUUC